UGGGGGAAUUUUGGACAAUGGGCGAAAGCCUGAUCCAGCAAUGCCGCGUGUGUGAAGAAGGCCUUCGGGUUGUAAAGCACUUUUGUCCGGAAAGAAAUCCUUGGCUCUAAUACAGUCGGGGGAUGACGGUACCGGAAGAAUAAGCACCGGCUAACUACGUGCCAGCAGCCGCGGUAAUACGUAGGGUGCAAGCGUUAAUCGGAAUUACUGGGCGUAAAGCGUGCGCAGGCGGUUUGCUAAGACCGAUGUGAAAUCCCCGGGCUCAACCUGGGAACUGCACUGGUGACUGGCAGGCUAGAGUAUGGCAGAGGGGGGUAGAAUUCCACGUGUAGCAGUGAAAUGCGUAGAGAUGUGGAGGAAUACCGAUGGCGAAGGCAGCCCCCUGGGCCAAAUACUGACGCUCAUGCACGAAAAGCGUGGGGAGCAAACAGGAUUAGAUACCCUGGUAGUCCACGCCCUAAAACGAUGUCAACUAGUUGUUGGGGAUUCAUUUCCUUAGUAACGUAGCUAACGCGUGAAGUUGACCGCCUGGGGAGUACGGUCGCAAGAUUAAAACUCAAAUGAAUUGACGGGGUCAUAGCUGUUUCCU
rnacentral:rRNA from 1 species